CAUAUGAUAUGCAGGUUCUCUGCUAGGCGCACGUUGAGAAUCGCCGACGUCGGGCCUCUUCCACCCUUGGCUCAGAUGGAGGCCUGGUAAAUAAUGAGCACCCCGAAUAUGUGAGGUCCUUGGCGAGGGUUCAGUGGGAGUUACCCACAUUCCACCCCCCACCACGCCCAGCUCCACAAUGGCCACCAUUGUCUCCCAGAGGACUUCGCUUGUGCCUGGGGAGACUGGCAGAGGAAGCUCACUGCAUCCAGCUGACAGAUUCAGCCUCUCAGAGCUGUAUACUCAAGCAGUUCCCAACAGCCCACAUUCCACACUGAAGCACUAUCUAGGUGACAGAAUGAGUCACUUUCUUCACUCUGGACUAAGGAUGAACACUGAACAAUAAAAGCAAUCCUGGCA